rnacentral:rRNA from 1 species
GACGAACGCUGGCGGCGUGCCUAACACAUGCAAGUCGAACGGAACUUCUUUAAAAGAUUUCUUCGGAAUGAAUUUGAUUAAGUUUAGUGGCGGACGGGUGAGUAACGCGUGAGUAACCUGCCCAUCACUUGGGGAUAACCUUGCGAAAGUAAGACUAAUACCCAAUGACGUCUCUAGAAGACAUCUGAAGGAGAUUAAAGAUUUAUCGGUGAUGGAUGGGGAUGCGUCUGAUUAGCUUGUUGGCGGGGUAACGGCCCACCAAGGCGACGAUCAGUAGGGGUUCUGAGAGGAAGGUCCCCCCACAUUGGAACUGAGACACGGUCCAAACUCCUACGGGAGGCAGCAGUGAGGAAUAUUGGUCAAUGGACGAGAGUCUGAACCAGCCAAGUAGCGUGCAGGAUGACGGCCCUAUGGGUUGUAAACUGCUUUUAUAAGGGAAUAAAGUGAGUCUCGUGAGACUUUUUGCAUGUACCUUAUGAAUAAGGACCGGCUAAUUCCGUG